CGAGGGUGCAAGCGUUAAUCGGAAUUACUGGGCGUAAAGGGAGUGUAGGCGGUUAUCUAAGUCGGAUGUGAAAGCCCUGGGCUCAACCUGGGAAUGGCAUUCGAUACUGGGUAACUAGAGUUUGGUAGAGGUAAGUGGAAUUCCGGGUGUAGCGGUGAAAUGCGUAGAUAUCCGGAGGAACAUCAGUGGCGAAGGCGGCUUACUGGACCAAAACUGACGCUGAGGCUCGAAAGCGUGGGGAGCAAACAGGAUUAGAUACCCGAGUAGUCC
rnacentral:rRNA from 1 species